UGCAGAGAAUGUUCCAGAAGUGCCUCCAACC
rnacentral:piRNA from 1 species